AUGCAUACUUGUUUAGAAAAAGUACUACAGGAACCACCGAUGCUACUUGUCGUCACACAUCAAAGUCUACAUGCGGACAAUUAUUAUUUUGAAAAGGGAAAAAGGGCGAAGGAAAAACACGUAGAUGACCUGCAUCUGUACGGAUUAUCUUUUAUGUCUGACUACGCUCAGUAUCAUUGUCCACGUUCAUCCGAUGAAAAGACCAGGUGCUAUCUUUUCUAUGUAUUUGAUCAACACAUAUUAAAUUGUUUAAAAACAAUUACUUUGGUUUGUGGUAUUUUUUCGCAGGAUCAUUAUUCAUUACAAAGGUGUCGUAAGGGGCGUGCGCCAAAUUAUUUUUUGCACUAG
rnacentral:rRNA from 1 species